AACGUAGGAGGCGAGCGUUAUCCGGAUUCACUGGGCGUAAAGCGCGUGUAGGCGGUCGGUCAAGUCGGCUGUUAAAGCCCCUGGCUUAACUGGGGGAGGCCAGCCGAGACUGCUCGACUUGAGGGUGGUAGAGGAGAGUGGAACUCCCGGUGUAGCGGUGGAAUGCGUAGAGAUCGGGAAGAACACCAGUGGCGAAGGCGACUCUCUGGGCCACACCUGACGCUGAGACGCGAAAGUGUGGGGAGCAAACGGG
rnacentral:rRNA from 2 species